rnacentral:rRNA from 1 species
GGGCAUGGGGGUGCUAUACAUGCAAGUCGAGCGAACGGACGAGAGUGCUUGCACUCUCUGAUGUUAGCGGCGGACGGGUGAGUAACACGUGGGUAACCUACCUAUAAGACUGGGAUAACUUCGGGAAACCGGAGCUAAUACCGGAUAAUAUUUAGCUUCGCAUGAAGCAAUAGUGAAAGACGGUUCUGCUGUCACUUAUAGAUGGACCCGCGGUGUAUUAGCUAGUUGGUGAGGUAACGGCUCACCAAGGCAACGAUACAUAGCCGACCUGAGAGGGUGAUCGGCCACACUGGGACUGAGACACGGCCCAGACUCCUACGGGAGGCAGCAGUAGGGAAUCUUCCGCAAUGGACGAAAGUCUGACGGAGCAACGCCGCGUGAGUGAAGAAGGUUUUCGGAUCGUAAAACUCUGUUGUAAGGGAAGAACAAGUACGUUAGUAACUGAACGUACCUUGACGGUACCUUACCAGAAAGCCACGGCUAACUACGUGCCAGCAGCCGCGGUAAUACGUAGGUGGCAAGCGUUAUCCGGAAUUAUUGGGCGUAAAGCGCGCGUAGGCGGUCUCUUAAGUCUGAUGUGAAAGCCCCCGGCUCAACCGGGGAGGGUCAUUGGAAACUGGGAGACUUGAGUGCAGAAGAGGAGAGUGGAAUUCCAUGUGUAGCGGUGAAAUGCGCAGAGAUAUGGAGGAACACCAGUGGCGAAGGCGGCUCUCUGGUCUGUAACUGACGCUGAGGUGCGAAAGCGUGGGGAUCAAACAGGAUUAGAUACCCUGGUAGUCCACGCCGUAAACGAUGAGUGCUAAGUGUUGGGGGGUUUCCGCCCCUCAGUGCUGCAGCUAACGCAUUAAGCACUCCGCCUGGGGAGUACGGUCGCAAGACUGAAACUCAAAGGAAUUGACGGGGACCCGCACAGCGGUGGAGCAUGUGGUUAAUUCGAAGCACGCGAAGACCUUACCAAUCUUGACUCCUUUGACACUCUAGAGAAAAGUU